UACGUAGGGGGCGAGCGUUGUCCGGAUUUACUGGGCGUAAAGCGCGUGUAGGCGGUUGUCCAAGUUGGAUGUGAAAGCCUUGAGCUUAACUCAAGAAAUGCAUUCAGGACUGGAUGACUAGAGGACCGGAGAGGAUAGUGGAAUUCCCAGUGUAGUGGUGAAAUACGUAGAGAUUGGGAAGAACACCAGUGGCGAAGGCGGCUAUCUGGACGGUUUCUGACGCUAAGACGCGAAAGCGUGGGGAGCAAACAGG
rnacentral:rRNA from 1 species